rnacentral:tRNA from 2 species
AUUUAAAUAGUUUAUGUUAGAAUAAUAAUUUGUGGUGUUAUAGGAAAAAUUUUGUUUUUUUAAAUC